rnacentral:rRNA from 1 species
AUACAAAACCAAUGCCCUUCGGGGCUCUCUUGGUGAUUCAUGAUAACUUCUCGAAUCGCACGGCCCCGCGCCGGCGAUGGUUCAUUCAAAUUUCUUCCCUAUCAACUUUCGGUGCUACGGUAUUGUCCUAGCAUGGUUG